AACGAACGCUGGCGGCGUGCCUAACACAUGCAAGUCGAACGAGAAAGGGGCUUCGGCUCCGAGUAAAGUGGCGCACGGGUGAGUAACACGUAGGUAACCUGCCUCUAAGAUUGGGAUAACAUGUCGAAAGACGUGCUAAUACCGAAUAAGACCACGGCUUCCUCGGAAGCAGGGGUCAAAGAUAGCCUCUACUUGUAAGCUAUCACUUAGAGAUGGGCCUGCGUACCA
rnacentral:rRNA from 1 species